rnacentral:rRNA from 1 species
GACGAACGCUGGCGGCGUGCUUAACACAUGCAAGUCGAACGGAAAGGCCCUGCUUUUGUGGGGUGCUCGAGUGGCGAACGGGUGAGUAACACGUGAGUAACCUGCCCUUGACUUUGGGAUAACUUCAGGAAACUGGGGCUAAUACCGGAUAGGAGCUCCUGCUGCAUGGUGGGGGUUGGAAAGUUUCGGCGGUUGGGGAUGGACUCGCGGCUUAUCAGCUUGUUGGUGGGGUAGUGGCUUACCAAGGCUUUGACGGGUAGCCGGCCUGAGAGGGUGACCGGGCAGAGUGGGGAUGGGGGCGGGCCCGCGCUCAGACGGGGGGCAGCAGGGGGGUACAUGGCACGGGGGGCCGCAGGCGGGGGGCGCAGGGCGGCGGGGGGGAGCACGGGGUUCGUGUUGUCAGCAGCUGCCGCAGGCGAGGAGGAGUGGGUGACGGUGAGGGGAAAAGCAGCACCGGCUAACUACGUGCAAGCAGCAGCGGUAAUAAUGGGAGGAGCAAAAGUCUGACC